rnacentral:snRNA from 1 species
GUGCUCGCUUCGGCAGCACAUAUACUAAAAUUGGAACGAUACAGAGGAGAUUAGCAUGGCCCCUGUGCAAGGAUGAUAUGCAAAUUCGUGAAGCAUUCCAUAUUUUU